rnacentral:rRNA from 1 species
UACGUAGGGUGCGAGCGUUGUCCGGAAUUAUUGGGCGUAAAGAGCUCGUAGGCGGCUUGGCAAGUCGGAUGUGAAAACUCCAGGCUCAACCUGGAGCCGCCAUUCGAUACUGCUAUGGCUAGAGUCCGGUAGGGGAGUGUGGAAUUCCCGGUGUAGCGGUGAAAUGCGCAGAUAUCGGGAGGAACACCGAUGGCGAAGGCAGCACUCUGGGCCGGCACUGACGCUGAGGAGCGAAAGCGUGGGGAGCGAACAGG